GGCGAGUGGCGAACGGGUGAGUAUAUAUCGGAACGUACCCAAGAGUGGGGGAUAACGUAGCGAAAGUUACGCUAAUACCGCAUACGAUCUAUGGAUGAAAGUGGGGGAUCGCAAGACCUCAUGCUCCUGGAGCGGCCGAUAUCUGAUUAGCUAGUUGGUGAGGUAAUGGCUCACCAAGGCGACGAUCAGUAGCUGGUCUGAGAGGACGACCAGCCACACUGGAACUGAGACACGGUCCAGACUCCUACGGGAGGCAGCAGUGGGGAAUUUUGGACAAUGGGCGCAAGCCUGAUCCAGCAAUGCCGCGUGAGUGAAGAAGGCCUUCGGGUUGUAAAGCUCUUUUGUCAGGGAAGAAACGGCUGGGGCUAAUAUCCCCGGCUAAUGACGGUACCUGAAGAAUAAGCACCGGCUAACUACGUGCCAGCAGCCGCGGUAAUACGUAGGGUGCAAGCGUUAAUCGGAAUUACUGGGCGUAAAGCGUGCGCAGG
rnacentral:rRNA from 1 species